rnacentral:rRNA from 1 species
UUCCGGUUGAUCCNGCCGGACCUGACUGCUAUCGGGGUGGGACUAAGACAUGCGAUCGAGCGUCUCUAACUAUGUUGAGACGCGGCAGACGGCUCAGUAACACGUGGCUAACCUACCCUCAGGACGAGGACAAACCCGGGAAACUGGGGCUAAUACUCGAUAGGUGAGUAUGUCUGGAAUGAUUUCUCACUCAAAGGGUAUUGGGAACAUGCUUCCAAUGUCGCCUGGGGAUGGGGCCGCGUCCGAUCAGGUUGUUGGUGAGGUAAUGGCUCACCAAGCCUAUAACCGGUACGGGCCGUGAGAGCGGUAGCCCGGAGAUGGGUACUGAGACAAGGACCCAGGCCCUACGGGGCGCAGCAGUCGCGAAAACUCCGCAAUGCACGAAAGUGUGACGGGGCUACCCCGAGUGCCAUCCGCUGAGGAUGGCUUUUCUUUGGUAUAACUAGCCGAGGGAAUAAGGAGAGGGCAAGACUGGUGUCAGCCGCCGCGGUGAUACCAGCUCUCCGAGUGGUAGGGAUGAUUAUUGGGCUUAAAGCGUCCGUAGCCGGCUUAGCAAGUCUCCUGUUAAAUUCAGCGACCUAAUCGUUGAGCCGCGGGAGAUACUACUAUGCUAGGAGGCGGGAGAGGUCGACGGUACUUCUGGGGUAGGGGUGAAAUCCUAUAAUCCCGGGAGGACCACCAGUGGCGAAGGCUGUCGACUAGAACGCGCUCGACGGUGAGGGACGAAAGCUGGGGGAGCAAACCGGAUUAGAUACCCGGGUAGUCCCAGCCGUAAACGAUGCGGGCUAGGUGUUGGAAUGGCUACGUGCCAUUUCAGUGCCGCAGGGAAACCAUUAAGCCCGCCGCCUGGGGAGUACGGCCGCAAGGCUGAAACUUAAAGGAAUUGGCGGGGGAGCACCACAAGGCGUGAAGCUUGCGGUUCAAUUGGAUUCAACGCCGG